UAGGUGGUUUCUUAAGUCAGAGGUGAAAGGCUACGGCUCAACCGUAGUAAGCCUUUGAAACUGGGAAACUUGAGUGCAGGAGAGGAGAGUGGAAUUCCUAGUGUAGCGGUGAAAUGCGUAGAUAUUAGGAGGAACACCAGCUGCGAAGGCGGCUCUCUGGACUGUAACUGACACUGAGGCACGAAAGCGUGGGGAGCAAACAGGAUUAGAUACCCUGGUAGUCCACGCCGUAAACGAUGAGUACUAGCUGUCGGAGGUUACCCCCUUCGGUGGCGCAGCUAACGCAUUAAGUACUCCGCCUGGGANUACCCUCGCAAGANUGAAACUCAANGAAAUUGACGGGGACCCNCNAAGUAGC
rnacentral:rRNA from 1 species